AUUUGCCUACGGGGGGCAGCAGUCGAGAAUCAUUCACAAUGGGGGAAACCCUGAUGGUGCGACGCCGCGUGGGGGAAUGAAGGUCUUCGGAUUGUAAACCCCUGUCAUGUGGGAGCAAAUUAAAAAGAUAGUACCACAAGAGGAAGAGACGGAGAACUCUGUGCCAGCAGCCGCGGUAAUACAGAGGUCUCAAGCGUUGUUCGGAAUCACUGGGCGUAAAGCGUGCGUAGGCUGUUUAGUAAGUCGUGUGUGAAAGGCGCGGGCUCAACCCGCGGGAGGCACACGAGAC
rnacentral:rRNA from 1 species